UGCUCGCUUCAGCAGCACUAUACUAAAAUUGAAACGAUACUGAGAAGAUAAGCAUGACCCCAGUGCAAGGAUGACACACAGAUUUGUGAAGCAUUCUAUAUAUUU